AAAUGUUAUCUGUGUUUGUUUUGUUCUGUUCACUGUCACUGCAGAUGCUGAUGCUGGACCCAGUGAUGUGAUUUACACUGAGCUUGAAAUCAAGCCACAGAAAAAAGCAAAGAAAAAUCAGGUGAAGGUCAGUGUAGAGUAUGGAACUGUUUACUCACAGCUGAAGCAGAACACAUAGGUGCUGGAGGAGUGAAUACACAACUGAACAGACGAGAGAGAAGAGAGAGAGAAGUUCAUCAUGUGUGCAGUGACAGUAAAAUCGGAGUGAGAUUGUUUUGUACAGGUUCUUUGCACUUAUUUGGUUUAAAAUGUGUGUGUGGGGGGAUUAAGAACGUGUGUAUGGACAGCAUUAAGAUGUAUUUACAGGGUGUAUUUUAUUGAUUACUUGUGCCACUAUUAGGACUGGUUGUAAAGCAAAAGGAUUUAGUAGUAAUAGUAAGAGUAAUAAGUCAAUGUGACUGAACUUUUAUUCUUGAAAAUGUUUUUUCACUCAUGUGAGGGGCUUCAUCAUGUCAUCUGUGUGCAGUUCACACCUACAGAACUCUAAGUCGUUAUGAUCACAUACAGAGAUACACUGAUGUAUUUUCCACCACACGGUACAACCACAAUCUCCAGCCUACAGUUAAAAAGAUCAUGUAUCAUUUCAUCAUAACAAACAUCACUUCAUGGUUUCAUUGUAUUAAGCAACACUUUAAAUAAAUGCGUGCAGAUAUCACAAACCACAACAAGAUGAAUAUCUAUCACAAGUCCUAAACUGUGUGCACCAAAUGUGUCUGUAAUGUCACACGUCUUCCAGAAACUAUCGUUUUAAUGUAUUUUUAUCGCACUGUAACAAGCCUGUUAGAAAAGUCAUGUGCAUAGAGUGUACAGUUUUAUCUCCAGCAAACGUUUGUACUCAUCUCCAUCCAUGUGGACAUAAGCAGUAUCAGUAUAUGUAAAGUUAGAGGUGCUCAGUACAGUGCAAUCUCUCAAUUUAUUUACUUGGUAUUUUAAUUUAUUUAUUUUUUCUUUGGUUUAAAUUUGUAAGCAUUUCAGCAAUUACAGUUGUACUUUUAGGUCACACAAAUGAUAUCCUGCAUUAAAAUAUACAUGUAUACAAAGCAGCUGUAUUUUAUUAAGGGGCGUUAUUCACUGAUUAACCUCCAGUUGCUUUACAAGUGAUGACGUCCUAUGAAACAAUGCAUAUAUUCAUUCUCAUGCAUCAUUAUUGUUGUACUCUACAAGAAAAAUACCUGCAUUGCAGUAGAAAUCAUCAGCUCUGUUUCUCAUUAAUAUUACGUUUAAAAAGUGGCUAAAGCUAAACAGAGAGCAUGAAAAAUUUCAGAUGAGGAAAUAUUUUAUCAAUCCUGCAUCACACAGACUGUGAAUAAAGUCUACUGUAAGAUAUUGCAAAUUUAAAAACAAAACAAACAACAACAAAAAUGCAUUCAUGUGUUUUCUGUAUAAAGGGGUCAUUUUAUUACCUUUACGCACUUGUCAAAAGAUUACGACAGUGCCAUCUUCUGGGUAUAAUUCAUUAUAGAAAAGUCUACGCAUUAUUAAAUUCUAUGUCUUUGAAAAUGUACAUUUUACAUUUGUUUUUAAUUUGUGUGUUUUUUUGGAAAUACUAAUGGUUAAUGACCACAAACACCAUUAACUUAAGUGAAUAAAAGGCAAUAAUCAGCAAUAUGCGUUCACACACAUGACUUUAUCUGAAGGUUUCAUUGAUGCAACAUGAUACUGAGUUGUUAGAAAAGAUAUAUGUAGUGACGCCAUUGUCUGAUGAAGUAAAGCAACCGAUGAACCGGUUCAUUGAAACAAACUGUCCGAAAGAACCGGUUCGUGGAAAUGAAUCGGACUUUCCAUCAGCCCCCGCAUGUAGGGAAGCGGCCCGCUUAUAAAGCUGAAGCCCCGCCCAUUCGGCAUGAACCAUUAUAAAGAAUAAAUAUCAGGUAAGUAUGAACACAACAACCUCACACAUAAAGAUAAGUAUACAUCAUCAUAAACAUAUAGAUAUAAACAUAUAAUAUGAUCAUAAUGUGAACAUACACACAUAUUAACCACCUUCCUCAUGUUCAUUUCAAUAAAAGUCCCCCUUUUCCCCCAGACACAUAAACACUGGUGCAGAAAUCGGACAGGAGUUUAUCUCCUCCCUCUUGCUGUAGUCUCGGCGGACUGGACCCGGAAGACGGACGCGGACAAUCUACAGCACAAACAAAGACAGACUAUACAAAUAUACAGACACGUCAAUAAAGAUGUUCUGUUUUACACUUAUCUGGUG